GGAGUCUGGACCGUGUCUCAGUUCCAAUGUGACCGUUCACCCUCUCAGGCCGGCUACCCAUCAUCGCCAUGGUGGGCCUUUACCUCACCAUCUAGCUAAUGGGCCGCGGGCUCAUCUUCCAGCGGGGCCUUGGCCCCUUUCCUGCCUCCCACUUGUGUGAAUGGCAUCGCAUCCGGUAUUAUCCUGUGUUUCCACAGGCUAUCCCCGACUGAAAGGCAGAUUACCCACGUGUUACUCACCCGUCCGCCGCUCUCGUAUUGCUACUACCGCUCGACUUGCAUGCUUAAAACGCGCCGCCAGCGUUCGUU
rnacentral:rRNA from 1 species